UUUGGGUACCCUGUAUGCCUGUAUCAGCUUCUGGGGCCUUUUUAAUCAGCCUGCAGUAGCAUAGGAUCAUAUCAGUAGCUUCCCUGGGUCAGAUUCAGUGGGCCUGCUGGCCCCUUCAUGCUUAAAAAAAGAUGGUUUAGAGUCAGGGGUGUUUCUGUGACAACUUUGCUCAUUAAUCAACGCCUGUGAAGAACAAUGAAAGCCAUUUGGGAGGUUUGACCUCCUGUUUUAUUCCUUCCUACAGUGUGAAUUUCUGCCAGGAGUGAUUAGAUUUCUUCUUGUUCUCCCAACCAAGAUGUGGGAGAGUGAUGAAUCUACUUGAAGAAAAGGACCCCAUGGAGACCUGGGAGAGUGGGAAGAAAGCAUGUGAUAUGGACAAACAAAGUCUUAUGUGCAGUGAUCUCUGA
ensembl:lncRNA